rnacentral:rRNA from 1 species
AGACCCGAAACCCGGUGAUCUAGCCAUGGGCAGGUUGAAGGUUGGGUAACACUAACUGGAGGACCGAACCGACUAAUGUUGAAAAAUUAGCGGAUGACCUGUGGCUGGGGGUGAAAGGCCAAUCAAACCGGGAGAUAGCUGGUUCUCCCCGAAAGCUAUUUAGGUAGCGCCUCGUGAAUUCAUCUCCGGGGGUAGAGCACUGUUUCGGCUAGGGGGCCAUCCCGGCUUACCAACCCGAUGCAAACUGCGAAUACCGGAGAAUGUUAUCACGGGAGACACACGGCGGGUGCUAACGUCCGUCGUGAAGAGGGAAACAACCCAGACCGCCAGCUAAGGUCCCAAAGUCAUGGUUAAGUGGGAAACGAUGUGGGAAGGCCCAGACAGCCAGGAUGUUGGCUUAGAAGCAGCCAUCAUUUAAAGAAAGCGUAAUAGCUCACUGGUCGAGUCGGCCUGCGCGGAAGAUGUAACGGGGCUAAACCAUGCACCGAAGCUGCGGCAGCGACACUCAGGUGUUGUUGGGUAGGGGAGCGUUCUGUAAGCCUGUGAAGGUGGCCUGUGAGGGUUGCUGGAGGUAUCAGAAGUGCGAAUGCUGACAUAAGUAACGAUAAAGCGGGUGAAAAGCCCGCUCGCCGGAAGACCAAGGGUUCCUGUCCAACGUU